GAUGAAGAACGCAGCGAAAUGCGAUAAGUAAUGUGAAUUGCAGAAUUCAGUGAAUCAUCGAAUUUUUGAACGCACAUUGCGCCCCUUGGUAUUCCGAGGGGCAUGCCCGUUCGAGCGUCAUUAUACCCCUCAAGCCUAGCUUGGUGUUGGGGCCUGCUGUUACCGGCAGCCCUUAAAAUCAGUGGCGGUGCCAUCUGGCUCUAAGCGUAGUAAUACUUCUCGCUACAGGGUCCCGGUGGAUGCUUGCCAUCAACCCCUAAUUUUCUAUGGUUGACCUCGGAUCGGGUAGGGAUACCCGCUGAACUUAAGCAUAUCAAUAAGCGGAGGA
rnacentral:misc_RNA from 1 species